CAGGGAUGAUCACUGGGACGGUUUCAACACGUCUAACAUUAAAGAUCAAACAGCACUGAACCAAAGAAUGGACAACUCUGUUCUCUGGAGUUUAUUACUCCUUGUUACGCUUCAUGGAGUCUGGAGUGAGAUCAGACUGGAUCAGUCUCCCUCUGAGGUGAAAAGACCUGGAGAGACACUGAAGAUGUCUUGUGUCACAUCAGGUUAUAGCAUGACGAGCCACAAUAUCCACUGGAUAAGACAGAGAGCAGGCAGAGCUCUGGAGUGGACUGGGAGGAUGGAUGCAGGCAAAAACUCUGCUAGCUAUGGCAGCUCCUUUCAGAGUGGCUUCAUCAUGACUGAGAAUGUUCCCAGCAGCACUCAGUACCUCCAGAUCAGCAGCCUGACAGCAGAUGAUUCUGCUGUUUACUUCUGUGCUCGUAGACACAGAGAGUGAAGACGGUGGAACAGCUGCACAAAA